rnacentral:lncRNA from 1 species
UCUUCAUUCUCCCCCCUGGCACUUGAGGGGAAAAAAGAAUCAUAUCAGCUUGACUAUUCAAAAAAGAAGCAAGAGCGCCACAGUUAUUUCAGUGCAUGGGAAUGGAAAAGGGAUAAACUGAAACAAUAAACUUGAACGUUUAGGAAUAUAAAGGCAGUUUCUCCCUCCACUCUCCGGCUCCAGCCUGGCAAAGCUGACACCAGUGCCACAGAAAAUGCAACCCGCUGCCCUCUCCCCAAAAUGUGGGGAGAGCACGGUUUUGCUAUGAAGAUGUCAGCUUUGACCUGAGGCUGACUUGAGAGCCCAGCUGUCAUGUCUCUUCCAAAUAAGCUGCUGAACUUGGAAUUAUCUUGGCUGAAUAAUUAAUCAGGACUAAAAAUAACAUCAAACUGCCUGGGCUUUGCUUAAAUCCUACACAGAGGCACAGCCUCACCUUACAUAGAAGACAGAUUCAAUGAAUCUGCCUCUCAUCCUAGGUGGCCACUAGGCAACUCCUCUGGGACCAUUUCUUCCUGCUCUAUGCUCCCAUGACCUUCAUUCAUACUCCCUCUUCCCCUGCUGGAAACCUACUUCUUUUACCUCCUCAAAGGUAAAAGGACCAGCUGGUGAACAAAGAGAAGCAUUAGAACAAGGGAGGAAAAACUGAUGCAAGACAAAUGACUUGGGCUCAUCAUAAAAUACUGAGCAGUCAGCAGAACAUUAAGAAGAGACUUCUACUCCCCACCACACACAUAACCAUCUGCACAACUGAAUGCCAAGACUAAGCCUCACCAGACGCCAGCAGCAUAAAUGAGAG